rnacentral:lncRNA from 1 species
UCUAUGUUUCCUUUGCGGGUCAGUAUGUUCUGCAGCCUCUAUUGACACGUGGACCGAAAAUGAGUUAUUGGGUUGUAAGCGAGUAUAUAUGAACCUAUGGAUCGCAUACUUAAUGAGCUGAAAUAAGGGAAUUGGAUGGUGAUCCAAUAGAGGCACAAUUCUGAUAAUGAUCUAAGUAGGAUUCCUCUAGGCCGUGAAGGUCCAGUUUAGAAUUAUAUAAAUUUAAGGGCGAGGAGGCUUAUUCGAAAGGAGAAAAAACCCUAGCCAUCAUCCUCCCAAGU